AAAUCGAAACCAAACCAGCCCCAAUAAAACUAGGCGAAGCAGUGAGUUUCCCGUUUGCUUGGACCAUUAUCCUUUUCUAUUUUGCUAUUUUCUCAUUUUAUAAGCCCGGUAUGAUCGUGAACGACGGCGAGGGCGCCACCCUCGUGACCACAAGGAAGUGAAGGACGAGGAAGAAUUCGAAAAGCUCGGGUCGAUCCUGACCAGUCUUCCACCGAUAACCAGAGUUGCAGAUGGUUCUGACCAUCAUUAGAGAUGGCUUGAAGAUCGACUGCAAGAGUUGGACAUAGGAACAUCAUGAAGGACAAAGAGCAGAACCCAGCAGGGCUUGCUCAACUCAUAAUUGUGGGUCAGCAAGAUGAUCGGGCAGAGCCCGCUAAGGAAAGUUGUACACUGCCAGUGUUUGUGAAUUCCGAACCAAUGAGGGAGGAACAAGUGCAAAAUGCUGUGAAAUUCCUUUCACACCCGAAAGUUAGGGGCUCUCUCUUGUUGUUUACAGACGGUCUUUUCUCGAGAAGAAGCCUCUCACAAAAGAAGAGAUUGACGAAGCGUUUCGGAGUGUGCCUGGUGAGAGCAUGCCAUUGGCUUGGCACAUGGCAGUGUAGCCACAAGUAGAAAUGUAUAUGAAGAGCUUGGUGUGGUAGAACAACCGUUGAUGCAAUAGCUAUGUUGGAAUCUUUGACACAAAUUGCAUUUCAAUGUGAUGACAAAAGAGAUGAAAGCAGAACAGAAGGGACCUAAUUAAGCAAAUUCAAGUGGUUGUCAAGCCUUGUUUAAGGUUGUUGCUAGUAUGUAACAAGGCGACUUGAAAAGCUGCAAUCUAAGACAACUAAUUCGUUGAUGUAAAUCAUAAUUUCAUGGGAUAUUGCUGCUAUGCAAUUUUAAUUUGAUGGCAGUUUACAUCUCUAAACUAAGAAAUUAAUGGGAAAAUGUCCUAUAGUGGAUGGUUGAGUAAUUUAGUGGAAAGAAAGAAUUUAGAAAAAAUAGGACGGCAGUAGUAAUGAUGGCAGAAAAAAUAUUAUUUGAUGUACGAAACCAUUACGAACUCAUGCCAAUUGCGCAUACAAUUGCAGUACAACAAGACAAAUUAAUGGUGGUGGUUUCGUGGUGGCGUAGUUCUCCGUCAAAAAUGGCGAUGGUGGUUGCCUUGCUCGUUCUGUGCAGCGAGCACAGUAUCAAGAGAGAGAGAGAGAGAGAGAGGUGAGGGAAAUCGGGAGAGUGGUAAAGAGGGAGUGAGACAUGAGGGUGGUGGCAAGGUGGUGCCUCGAGGGAGUGGCGAGUGAGGUGGUGAUGGUUUCUCGAACGGGAGAUUGAUGGUGCACUAGAGAACUUGAGUCCUCUCUCAGUUUGGUAUCUGGGGAAGAAAACCAAACAAAGCUAUGCAUUAGCAAAGUUUGAAAUGAGGGUUUUUAAUCUUUGGCAUGCUAUUGCCUUUAUUUGAUCAUUCUUUGAAUAAAAUUCCGAUGGACAAGUGAAAUAAACUGAAUGAAAACUUGGAGAAGAAGUUCUGAUUUUUAAUAUCUUCAGUCGGGGAUUAUUGUGAUGUCUUUUGACAAUCGAAAUGUGAAUGCAUUAUGUUGCUUAGAACACAAGUCAAUAUUUUUUAAAAUGGAACAAAAGUAUCUAGACUCGAGUUUUGCUAAAAUUGUUUUGUAGAUUUCAUUAUAGUUAACAAAAAAUAAACUUAUGAAAUCUCAAUUAUGAUUGUUCAUGUGCCCCUACUGAGAAAUGUUAGGUAUGAUGGAUGCUAUAGAUAGAAAAAUGUUGGCUUAAGGUUGGAUUCCAGGUAAAUAUGUGCUAUCCCGGAUGAUGGAAUUGCAUAGCAUCAUAAGUUUCUAUAUUUUCCUGAACAGAUUUACUGAAAAUGUUUUUCGAGGAUAUUCAACAAGAACUUUGAUCUUUAAAUUUUCUCAUUGUUGCAGUCUCUUAUGGUUUAGUUAAUCCUAUUAGCCUAUUGUUAGGUCAAUUAAGAGAGUGUUUUAGCCUUCUGUUAGUGUUUUGUCUUAUAUACUUUCUCAUUGUUAGAUCAGUUGUGAUUCUGUGUAGUUCAUGCUUCCAAGUGUAAAAUUGUUCAUACAAUCUCACUUUUGCAUCUAAUUAGUGAGCCAAAAAGAAAAUUUUUAACAUUUUAAAUCCUAAUUAUCUCUAUUUCAGCCAAUGCAUAUUUUUUCCACCUAAAAGUCUUUGAUGCAUGUCUUUUUUCUAAGUAUUGAAACAUACAUUGUUCGAAAUUUGUUGAGCACUUGAAACUUUACAAGUUAAGACUAGGAAUUUUAUGAUAUAUGAUAACUGUUUUCUAUGUUUGUUGUUGAUUAAGCAUGUGGGAUACAACUCGGUCUUAGACACUUAAUAAAGAUUUAUUGUUUGAAAUUAAUGGGGCACAGGUUAUUCUCAUGAUAUUGGCUGCAAAUGCUGCAGUAGGAGUGAUUACAGAAACCAACGUUGAAAAAGCUCGAGGUCCUUCAUAGAUUUUUGGAGAACUAUUGUAUAAGUUUAAACGGACCAGUAUGCAAAUCAUCCUUGCCUGAUAUAGUGGCUAAGGCACCCAAAAACGAGAGAGAUGAUCUACUGCUGAGUGAAGAAUUUAUUAGAAAUUGUGUGGAAAUGUUCUCUGUUCCAGCAAAGGGGAAUGAGACAAACUUGCGAGCUUUUUCCCUGAAGCAUCUUAAUUUAAUAGCCACUAAAGCAGGACAACAACCUUGGGCGAAGUGUCAGCAGAAGUAACUUCUAUCGAAUAUGCAGUGCUUUUAAAUAUGGAGCUCGCAAGCUUGGUUAGAUUCUUUCAUUCAGAAGAAAAUUGUGGGUGACGUUGAUCUUUGCAGUUUACACUCAGUGUCCAUAGCACAAGCAAAAAGUGACAAGAAAAUUGCUGCGGUGCUAAGCUAGCAUACAACAUCUUUAUUGUCGUAGAUGAACGCCAAACCAAUUCUCUUAACUAGCAGGAAAUGAAACAAAAAUAGCUAAUUCAGCACCAAAGUUACACCUUCAACAAAUACGUUUUAAAGAAAUGAAGGUACAAACAUUGAAAGGCAUGUAAAAUUAAUUAACGCUUUAUUAACUUUAUUUUACUCAUGUUUUACAUUUAAUUACAAUUUUUACUAAGCUCUCUCUUCGAAGGAAUUAGCUAUCACUAAUAUAUAUCCAAACUAUCUUCUUUUCACAUGAUCUAAAUACAUGACAGAUUAUUUGCUUGCACACUGAAAGGUUAGAUCGAACAUCCAAGAGUAUAAUACUAGACGUUUCCACUAGAGAUAUACCCGCUUCACAUAUUUUAAUCUAAUAUAUUUUUUCACAGAUAUAGAAAAUACGGAGAGUAUAUCUUUAGUGAAAGCAUGCCUAUUUAUACUUUCGAACAUUUGUCUUCAACGUAUCAAUGAACAAACAGAUACUUGGCCAUGCAUUCAGAAUAUAUUAGAAGAAGAAAGUGUGUAAAUUGGUAACAACUAAUUCAUCCGAAGCGAAGACGGAAAUGAUGAUUUUUUCUCCGAUAAUGAAAAUUGAGAUUACCAAUCUUGAUAAAUCUGAUCCGUCUUAAAAUUAUAUUGUUAGCAAAUUCGCUGCUAUUUCACGAUAAUAUGAUUUGCAUAACUUUUCUCACUCUUAUAUAACGCUAUCACUAAAUACAUUUUAUUCGAUGAGACACCAAUUUCCAUCUUUGUUGUAUUAAAUUACAACAAACUUAGCUUUUCUGGUAUUGAUCAAACUAAGACGAUCAAAAUACAUUAUCCAAAUUCUGAACCCCAGGUAUGUCUCCAAUUUCACUUACUCUUUAUUUCUCAAUACAUUUGUUUGUGUUACACAAUGUUACGUUGCUCCAAAGUUUUAUAUGUAUAAAUUAUGCUCAAUCUAUUUUAAUAAUUUUUUAGUUGUUAAUAUCUAUGUACGUUCACAUCCCACAGCAAUGCGUUGGCAUCACUUCCUAGUGAAACCUAUUUUGCACAACCACUAACAAAUUGUUUGCACCUUUACGCAAUCUCCAUUAGAAAAGCCACAAGUUUCUCAAUCAAGCAAAUUGGCAUCAUAAUAUCCAAGGGGUGCAAAUUAGCCCUCUCUUUUUUUCUUUUCUUUUUCAUUUUCUUUUUUUUCUUUUUUUUCCUUUUCUUCAUCUAAAAUACACCAAGAAGCAGGUGGAGCUAGCACCAUCGCUGUCUGUCCGAACAUCAAAUGCCUCUUUCUUUUUCUUCUGCAAAACGGCCAAAGUACCCAGAUUCUUCUUUUCUAUAAAAAGCUUGCUACAGACCAACCACCACAGAGUGUUAAUGUUUGCCAUUUUAUUUAUUACCAUUGGGUGAGUUUAAAUUUUGAGAUUUGUAUUUAUCUAAAGUAUUAAACUCAUAUAACGGUGAUAAAUAAAGUAAUGAACAUCACCAUCAUUUGAGUGUGGAGAACAAGAAUAUUCCUAUGAUAUUGUACGCAAAAGGGAAAAAUUUCCUAAUUGCAAAAGCAAAAUAGAGAGGUAAUAAUUAGAGGGUUUUUACGCUCUUAAUGGUAUUUAAUUUGCUUGGUAACGAGAAUUAUUUGGUAGUCAGUCACCUACAGCAUGCAUGCAAAUUGGAGGAGACAAUACAUGGACCAAAUUACACCACCGUAUCCUUUGGAACUUCACUUAUAGCCCCAUGUUCACUUGGAAGACAUGAAAAUUAUGAACAAAAUUGUUUUUUCUCCUAACCAUGACAAAUUUGUAACUCAAUCAAGUUUAUUUGCUUUGAUAAUUAAUAUUUUGGGUGACAAUUUUUGAUGAGAUUCAUUAAAUACUAACAAUUAGUGGACGAUAUUAAUCGGAGUGCGUAAAAGAUAGGGCAAUAAGUUAAAAGGCGAGUGACACAACUAUAAGUCACAUUAUCGUGACUUUGAGUAGAGUAGCAUAUGACACUUGCAAAAUAGUGUUCCCCAAAGUGCUCAAUGAAAUUUCUUUCCUUUUCUUCCCUGACGAA